ACACAGGGCAUGCCGAGCUAUGAAUUCAGGCUUCCCCUACUGCCGAGGGGAGGUGGAGGCAUGGUUGAAGGUGAUGCUGGGCCAUUCGGUGUUACAUCUGAGGGGCCCAGUACUCAGUGCGUGGGAAGCCCCUGCGCCAGUACCAACUCUGACGUCAAUGCCUGGGUUGAGGUGGGAGCCAGGGCCAGGGCCAGUGCCAUCCCCAGGGGCUGCACCACAUCCAGCACAAGGUUCGCAGACAACGGUGCCGGGAUGGAGCAGUGGUGCCCUCUGUCCUCCAGGGCUAGAGUGCUAGGUGCCAGAGUCAAGGCCGGGUGCCAUCUGGUGUUACACUCCUUAACCAGACCCAGUGCCGAGGUUAGGAAUGAGGUCAACUCAAUCAGGCCCCAUGCCAUCUCAAAGGUGUUCGGAGUGGAGAGCUCCAGGAGAUCCACCGCUGGACUAGGUCUUGGCAUGGGCUGGAGUGGUGCCAAGUAGCUAGGUGCCUCCCACACUGAAGCCAAUGCACUCUGGGCUGCUGAUGCUGGGUCAGACACCGGCGCAGGGCCACCUCCAUGAGGAUAAUCUUGAGGCUAGACUCCCUUUCCUGUUUAGUACAUGGUUUGAAGCCUUUGCAGAUCUUACAAGCCUCAGACAAGUAGGUUUCACCGAGGCACUUGAGACAGGCUCCGUGGGGGUCCCCACAGAGUAUAGGGCACUUCUCACAGGGCUUGAAGCCCUGGGGCCCGGGCAUAACCUGAUGGACACGCUGAGGAUGCCCAAACCACCAGACACAGCCAUGCCCAAACUCUGUCCCCAAAAUACCUACUAUAGACCUUCUGGGGGCGGAAUGUUGCUGCCCCUAGUAUCUCCUUCCCCAUGCUCCUGGCUGGGAAGGCUUGAACUACAUGACCUCUUCCCCUCCCCCAAAGCUCCAGGAGCUGCGCUGCACACAUUCGCCCCCUCACCUCUCUUCUCCUCCCUAGUGCUCCGAGAAGGCUGGGGAGUGCUCAGUGCACUGCCCCACCUCUCUUCCUAUCCCUGGUGCUCUGGGGAGGCCGGGGUUCACUCGGCAUGGUACCGCACCUUCUUCCCUUUCCAUGGGGGUAGGAUCUUACCAGAGGGGGAAAGGCUGUAGGUGGGGCUGUGGGCCUGCCUCCCCCAGCCUCAGCUGCAUCAACUGUCCAUAUUGUAAGGCUGUCCAUAACUGUCUUUGUUAGUGUGGCCAAUGUGUGGAAUUUUUGUAUUGCAGUCGCGCCUACACUUGUAUACAAUCCAAUGUGGCACCUAUGAACUUCAACUCCUGAGAUAAGAUAAGUCUCAUGUAAAGAAGAUUCUGAAGCAGGAAAGGAGGGCAUGUGGUGGAGCAUCAAUUUGAGAAAAAAAUCUUCAAGAACUCCAGGUACUGUACAAGGUACUUUUCUUUUUCUGAGUAACAGCCUUACAGGUGCUUCAAUUCAAGUGCCUCCUAAGAUGUACUCCUCAAAAGGAGGUGGGUGUUUGGAGCAGGUUCUAAGACUGUCUGAAAGGCAACAUCUGCCUGAGAUGCACACACUGAGGCAUAGUACUUUGAGAAAGUGUGGAUGAAGUUUAUGUGGCAGCUUUUACAAUUUUUUCCAAUAGGUACUUUUUUCAGAAAGCAUAAAGAAGUGGACUGAAAUCGGGUAGAAUGGGCUGUAGCCCAAGGAGGAGGGCACUGGAUGUUAGCAGCUUUGUGGCAGGAAAGAAUUCAAAUAGAGGUUAAUCUGGAAUGUCUUUGACUGAACAUAGACAUCCUUUUAACUGUCUACAAAAGAGACAAUCUAGGAAAGGCAUGAAAGGUCCUAGUCCUAUCUAAAGAAAAAGUUACUCACCUUGCUGCAGUAACAAUGGUCCUUUGAGGUGUGUCCCCGUGGGUGCUCCACAUCCCGCCCUCCUCCCUGCUCCGGGUCCUCUGUUUAUUUCUCGUUGCAGAUACCAAGCGGUGAAAGGAACUGGCAGGGUGCUGGACCGUGCAACGUCGGAAAGGGCGUGAACGGCGCAUGGCGCUAAACGUGCAUGCGUGGCCCAGCCAACUACAACUGUAAAAACCUCUGACCAGCGGUGCCAGGAUGAGCCCAACACCAUCGUUAUUGCACCAAGGUGAGUAUCUUCUUCUUCUAGUGAUCCCCGUGGGUGCUCCACUCUAGGUGACUGUAAAGCAGUAGCCAAUGCAUGUGCUCCAGGUCAAUGCUUUUCUGCAACUGAUGGAACUGCAGAUGCUACUGCCACAUCCAUGGCCCAACGUUGUACUAUUGCAUAGUGUCGCAUGAAAGAAGUACUGGAAGACCAGGUCGCUGCACAACACGUCACUGAGGGGGACUCCGCGGGCAAAAGCUGUGGAGGUCGCUACUGCUCUUGUAGAGAGUUCAUUCAGUUGUGAAGGAAGGGGUCUGCUCCGUAUCGAGUGACAGGUGGUAUUAUGGAGACCAAUGAGUCCGGCAAUACGCUGGCUAGAAAGUGCAUUGCCCCUGGAGCGCUGUGCAAUGGAAACUAGAAGUCUGUCUGUCUGCUGCCAUUGUCGGGUUUUUUCUAUAUAAAAGGAAAGAGCUCGGCGAACAUCAAGCAUGUGUAGUAAGACGUCCUUCCGUGAAGAACGAGGUUUCGGAAAGAAGGAUGUAAGAACGAUGGGCUCAUUAAUGUGAAAAGAGGAGCAGACCUUGGGAGUAAAAGCAGGGUGAAAAUGUAAUGUAACCGAGUCUUUGGAAAAGGACAUGAAAGGUGGAGUUGCCAUUAAUGUCACCAGCUCACUAACUCUGCGUGCCGAUGUAAUUGCUAGCAGAAAAGCUAGCUUCAUAGUCAACAUUUGUAAUGGGAUAGUCGCUAGUGGUUUGAAUGGAGGGUGCAUGAUGGUAUUGAGCGCCAGAUCCAGAUUCCAGGAGGGAGGUGGUGGUCUUCGAGGUGGGUAUAGGUUCAUCAGACCUUUCAAAAAUCUUUUCGUGGUUUGAUGAGCGAACAGUGGAAAGCACUAAUAGCUGCUAAAUGUACUUUCAGGGAUGAGAGGGAAAGCCCCAAACUCUGCAGGUGAACAACAUAAUCGAGGAUUUCGUGCAAAGGAGAGGUCUGUGGCUCGAUGUUGUUACGAAAACACCACUGGGAAUAUCUACACCAUUUUGCAAGGUUAGCAUUCUGUGUAGACGACUUUCUGCUGUGUAUCAGUAUCAUUUUGACAUGGUCCGAGCAAAGGGUCUUUCCCUCUCUGAGCCAGUUAGCAGCCAUGCUGUCAGAUGUAGAGAGUCCAAUCUGGGGUGUAGGAGAGAGCCUCGCUCCUGUGAGAGAAGGUCCAGAUGGGGAGGGAGAGGCCAAGGUGGUACGAGUGACAUUUUAUAUAAGAGCGGAUACCAUGUUUGCCUCGGCCAGGCUGGGGCUAUCAUGAUGAUCGUUGCUGCCUCCAUUUUGAUUUUCUCCAACACACUGAGGAUGAGGACCAUCGGAGGGAACGCAUAGAGGAGUGUCUUCUUCCAGGUGGUUAGAAGAGCAUCACCGAGAGAAGCCCUACCUAUACCUGCUCUGAAGCAAAAUAGGGGACAUUUCGCGUUGUCGGGAGUAGCAAACAGAUCCACUACCGGUGUUCCCCAUCUGUGGAAAAACUCGUAGGAGUAUAUCUGUUCUUAUUUCCCAUUCAUGAUCUUGAGGAAAACGCCUGCUGAGAGAGUCCGCAAUGACAUUGAUGGUGCCAGGUAAGACAGACGUUAUGGUGAUGUUGUUCCGUAUGCACCAGUUCCAGAACCGCACUGCUUCAGCACAUAGGCAGCGUGAUCUUGCUCUUCCUUGUCUGUUUAUGUGUACAUUGUCGCUACAUUGUCCAUCAACACUCUGAUGGAGGUGCCCCUUACGUAUAGGAGGAAGUGCCUGCAUGCAUGGAAGACAGCUCUCAGCUCUAGGAGGUUUAUGUGACGGCACCUCUUGGCAAGUGACCAUUUGCCUUGUAUGCGCUUGUCGUUCAUGUGAGUGCCCCAUCCGAUGAGGGAGGCGUCCAUUGUUAUCUGAAUGGACUGUUGCGGAUGAUGAAAAGGAACUCCCAUCAUGAGGUUUUUCGUUUUUGCCCACCAGCGGAGGGACAUCCAAAUGUGAGACGGCAGAGUUACUAUCAUGUGAAUACUGUGCUUCGUAGGUAUGUACACAGUUGCCAACCAGUGAUGCAAGUUCUGUAAAUGAAGUUGUACGUGAGGAACAACAAAGGUGGUAACGGCCAUGUGGCCCAGUUUGGAACCGAGAUUGUUGGAGCCGAGAUUGUUGGAGCCUUGUGAGAUUGUUGGAGAUUGUCGAGUACUUGUACCAGGUUUUGGAUUGUCUGGAAUCUGUCCAGUGGUAGGUACACCCUCACCGCAAGGGAAUCAAGGAUGGCUCCUAUAAACUUUAUGCUUUGCUUCGGGAUUAGUGUUGACUUUUGCUCGCUCACUAUGAGACCGAGGGAGUCGAACGUGUGUUUGACCCAUAUCACCAUAUGCAAGGUCUCUUGUUGCAUUGCGCUCUUGAUUAGACAAACGUCAAGAUAGGGAAAUAUUACGACGCUUAGACGGCAGAUGUGUGCUGCAACUACAGCAAGGGUCUUUGAAAAUCCCCUGGGUGCUCAUGUGAGACCAAAUGGUAAAACGCGAUAUUGGAAGUGUUCGUUGUCUACUACAAAUCAAAGAAAUCUCCUGUGCGUGGGAUGCACAGUGAUAUGGAAAUAUGCAUCUUGUAGGUUGAGGGCUGCAAACCAAUCGUAGUUGUCGAGAGAUGGAAUUAUUGUGGUAAGUGUCACCAUCUUGAAUCGCUUUCAAAGAUAAUGAUUCAACAGGCAUAGAUCGAGGAUGGGUCUCCAACCUCCCAUCUUUUUCUGCGUUAUUUCCUAACGCAAAUAGAACCCUCUUCCUCUGAACUGGUCCGGGACCCUCUCUAUUGCCCUAAUGGCAAGAAGACGGUACUACCGACAGAAGACGGUACACUUCUGUCGUAAGAAGUCCUUGUGAGAUGGGUCUCUGAAGAGGGACGGAGUAGGUGGGUUGGUGGGACGAAGGGAGGUAAAGGGGAUUGUGAGUUCUGAUUUUAUGACCUCCAAUACCCAUCUGUCAGAUGAUAUCUCGGCCCACUGUUGAUAAAAGGGCCGGAGACGAUAAUGGAAUAGAAGUGUGGUGCCAGAAAUGCUUGUGACAGCAAUAGGUGUGUGCAUUCCCUUGACCGAGAAGUCAAACUUGCUGUUUCGAGGAUGGUGGAUUGGUUGCGCGAGAUAUUUGGGGACGCCUGCAUUGUGGUCGUUGCUUAGGAUGCGUUUGGUCAAAUGGACGCUGCUGCAGUCUGCGGGACUGGCAGUCAUAUCUUCUUUGAUAUGGAAAAUACCGUCUACGCUGGAAGGGGAGUGCAUACAUUCCAAGUGUGCACAAGGUAGUAUGAGAAUCCUUGCCUGUGAGAAGGACUUCGUCUGUCUUUUCCAUGAAUAACUUGAGUUUGUCAAAGGGAAGAUCCUGAGAAGCUGAAUAUGAGCCAACAGUGUGCCUUUGUUGCCAAGAAGGCAUUGCCAACAGACUGAGGAAAGUGAUUAUUCCCCUCUAUUCAAUCCUGGUAAGGUCACAUUUGGAAUACUGUGUUCAGUUUUGGGCCCUUCACUACAGAAAGGAUGAGGAUAAACUGGAGAGUCUAGUAGAGGACAACAAAAAUGAUUAGGGGGUUGCGGCACAUGAUUUAUGAGGUGAGAGUGACGGAAUUUGGUUAAUUUAGUCUGCAGAAGAAUGAGGGGGGAUUAGAUAACAGCCUUCAACUACCAGAAGGGGGGUUCCAAAGAGGAUGGACCCAAGUUAUUCUCAAUGAUGGAAGAUGACAAAACAAGAAGCGAUGGUCUCAAGUUGCAGCGUGGGAUGUCUAGGUUGAAUAUUAGGAAAACUAUUUCACUAAGAGAGUGGUGAAGUAGUGGAAUGAGUCGCCUAGGUAGAUGGCAGAAUCUCCAUCCUUAGAUUUAUAAGGUGAGACUUGACAAAGCCAUGUCUGGAAUAAUUUAAUUGAGGUUGUCCCUGCUUUGAGCAGUGGGUUAGACUAGAUGACCUCCUGAGGUCUCUUCCAACACUAAUUAUCUAUGAUUCUAUCAUAAUUAGCAAUUCUGAACUGCACAGUGACAGAUGAGUAGCUCUAGCAACCAAAGUAGUCCAAAUGAUUUAGAUCUUUAUAGUGGUGGAAGGGAGGGGUCAUUUUGAAUGAUGUCUGUUGCAUUCAUUCAGAGCAUCCACAGCCAAAGAGUUGAGGACUGGAUGUGUGAAGAAAAAUACUAACCUCUGGCAGGAAUGUUUUGUAUCAUGUCCUCUUACAGGUUGGUGGCACAGUGACAAGGAUUUGCUAAAUUGUUUUUGUGGGCUCCACUAAAGACUCAUUUAUGGGCAAGGCUACUUGAGUAGAAGUGGGAUUAUCAAGCAUAUCCAAUAGUCUCUGUUGGAAACUCUUGGAUUUCUUCCAAGGGAAUGUCAGCAACUAUUCAUUAGGUCCUGAGUUUGUCUAAAAUCAGCUAAGGUGGGUGGAUAGAUGUGUAAGAGAAAAAAAUAAAUGUUCAUCAGAGGAGAACAAAAGUCAGCUCUUUUUUUGUGUUUUUACAACAGCUCUUCAUCUGGUGGGGACUGAAAUGGAGGAGUGGAAGGAACAGAAGAGCACAGACUCCGAUGCUCAAUUCAGGAGCUAAGCAGGAUUCAAGUUUCACUAUAUAAACUGGGAUCCAAGGAGACCAACAUGAAAGGAAAAGAGGGGGAAAGAGGAAAGGAUGAAAGAAACAGAAGAAGAAGGAAAGACCCUGCAAGAACUCACCUCCAAGACCCAGCCUAUGACCAGAGCUGCCAGAAUUCCUCUGCAUGACCAUGACAUGCAGCAACCAGGAUCCAAAGAGGCUGACCUUGCCUGGCCUACUGGGAAAGUUUGCCUGCCUUUAUCAGGGUUGGAGAGCAUGACACUGCAUGUGUAUUCUGCUUGUUUGGUAAUUGUCAAUAAAUAGAGAAUAAGGAUAUUACUGAGUAUGGCUCCUUCAGUGGCAAAAGAUCCUGCAGAUCCACAGGAGGUUGUACUUUGAGCCAUUGGAAUUGGGGAAAGGUGUCUCCCCCUAGUGUGUGAAUGACAGAGAAACCUGUGCAGGUAACAGGUGGCCCUGACAGAAGGUUUUCAACAGCUCAGUAGGACUCUAUUGACCUACUCAGAGCAAGCUUGCUCCUCAGUAUUCAGCCACUGAGUUUCCAGACUAUCGGAUGAACACAACUUAGGUUUAAAUGGAGCUGGCAACCACGGGGUCAGGAGAUCAGGUCUAGGUACGGUGGAAGUAGUAACAGGGUUUCCACUGAAAGGUCUAAAGGGGGAUGAUAUCUGGCCAUACUUGGUCUAUGAGGAUGACUCACACUCAUUUCUACUUAGUGAUAGAAAUGUAGCCGUGUUAGUCUGGGGUAGUUGAAGCAAAAUGCAGGA